AAGAAGAAGAAGGAUGAUGAUGAUGAUGAUGAUGAUGAUGAUGAUGAUGAUGAUGAUGAUGAUAAUGAUAAUGAUGAUGAUAAUGAUAAUGGACGCAAGCAAACGAACCAGAUCAACAGAGAUAGAUUCUACCCGACCUAAAAAUCCUCGGCAUCUUUCAAAAAAGCUCCAUGACCAGAGACGUGGUAAAACACGGGUAAAUAUUGGAGAUGCAUUUGAAAGAUGAAGACAUUUUAGAGCCCUGGAGGAUUUCAAGACUGAUGCCGAGUUGGCUAAUUUUCUCCUGAAGAGCUAUGAAGUCAGAGGAAGAAGUAUCACAUAUGGCCCCUGCACUGUCCAGUAUUGGAUAUCCAUCAAGUGGAACACUUUCAGACUGGUCAGUAUUCAGGAUCUGAAUCGAUAUUUGUUUUCAACCCACAUUGUGAAAUGUAUAUCCUAAUAUGAAAACAGAAGUAUGCAGCUGAAACUAAGGAAGUUGAUGUAAUGCAACUUGGAUUCAUUUUGUAUUACCCGUGGGUUACAUUUGCACAAAUGCCAAUUGUAUGUCUGUAAAUAGUAAAAUAUUUUUUGUCUCUAUAGAGAAGAGCUGCCACUUACCUGUAUAGAAGAAGGCAUUGAGGUUUUGGAGAGCACCAUAGAUGCCUCUGAAGGUCUAGAAAACAAGUAAAUAUGUCUUCAGAGUUUCCAAGACGACAAAAACCUGAUCAGGGAUGACCAUGAGUUCAAUGACCUUAGGAACAGUGUUAUUGAUUGGGAAACAGAUUAUGAGGAAGAAGAGGAAACUGAAGGUGAUGACAGGCCAAAUGAGGAAUAUGUUCCUCGUCUUUGUAUACGCGGUUGGAAGAAUGAACGUGCUCAAUACUGCACAUACCGCCAUGGACAACGAGUCCCUGGAAAUCUUCUCCAUCAUCACCAUAGACAAAAGGGAAAUGCAGAGAAAUUCAGUCAUCAUGGAGUCAGAGGCAUUCAUCCGAAUGGUGGACGGGUUUCUAAAUGAAUCUGUACAGAUGCCCAUGUCCAGAUCUCUGCCCUCAUGAACAAAAGGAAGUACAAAGAUUCAGGGGUGCAGCACAGCCUAGACAUGUGUCAUGGGGCCAAGAAGUUGGCCAAAAGGAUCCACGCUGCAGCACAGAUCAAAGUCAAGUCCAGCCUGAUCCACUGAUUGAAGGACAUUGUUAACCACUUUUGGUGGUGCUGCAAAAUGGCUGAGUCCCACUACUUCCUUGAGCAGUGGCUGGGACUCACUCACCAUGUGACAAAUGAACACAGGUGGGUGCAGGGGAGCUGCCAACAUGAGCAGAUAGAAAGCGACAGGACAAAGCAGUGGCUCGUAAGAGGCUCAUGAGGCUCUUAAGAACAUUAUCAGGAACAAGCGGUGGCUUAAGUAAGUUCAGAAGUACCUGAACUUUAGGUAAUUUGUGUUUGUUUUUGAACAAUGAGUCGACAAUCUUGGCCCAUGACUGCAUUUUUUUCACAGAUCGACAGCUAUCCUUGAGUCUUUCCAGAAUCACAUACUGAUGUAUGCCAGUAAGUGCUCCGCGUUGAGCCCACCUGCAUUUGAGGCCAGAACCCUGCUCUACCACCCCUGACUACAACUACCACAAGGACUGACCAGACUGGAUGAAACCUGAUGGAAGCAAACAGUUCAGGAGACUGUACAAGAAGAAUGCCAGCCGAUACAAUCUCUACACUCUCAAGACAGAGAAGACGUAUGGCCACAUCCCAGAUCUGCAGGCUCUGAUUCUCCGGAAGAGACUGACUGGCGGGGGAAUGCCCAGACGAAGGUUGCUUCGCCCUGAUGAUCCCAGAAGGUUUGGCCUGUUUGGCACCAACCAUAGAGGAACUCCAGCAAACCCAAGUCAGGAGAGGUCAUGUUAUUCUCCUCAGUACCAGCAUUCCAGACAGAUUGAUGAGCAGCAAUGCCCACCGGAGUAAGAGCCUCAAAACUGUGCCCAUAUUCACUUUAUAGUCCAUGCUAUAUUCUUGAUUAUUUAUUAUUUUCUGUAUUGCUUUUCCAGUAAGGUCAUUGCACUGCCAUGAGUUAUAUUGCACUAUUAGUAGUGAGAAUUACUUGAAUCUUGAUACUAGUAAUAGUAUAAUACUUGAAUCUUUAUUACUACAUUUUAUUAUUAUUGUUUUUGUAUUGUUAUUAUUCUUACUGAUCUCACCUAGUAUCAUUAUUUUAGUCAUAUACUAUAUACAGCAGUUAGUUCUAAAAAAUAUUUCACUUAUCACCACUGUAACUUGUGUGUCACAACAAUUUUCAACAACUCAAUUUGAUUACAAUACCAUCUUGUUAAUCCCUUUCGUGUGUAUGUAACUGCCCGUAUUUCUCUGUAAAUAGGAAUCUAAUAAAAUUGUUAAUGACUUUUAAUGUUAUCUUUCUUUCAUCAACUCAUAACGGUCACCUUUACUGAUAUAUAUAUUACAAUGGUAUUUAAGGCCAGGGACAAAACCAAUAUACUGGCCCUGAGGAUAAAGGUACGUGUCCCAAAUAACCAUCUUCUAGACAGUAGAGGGUGAAGUGUGGCAACCGACUAAUGCAAUGGUUGGGCCCCUAGCCACAGCAUUUUCUCUCCCAUCUCCCUGCAGUUCCCACAUGUACACCAGGGUGCAACAGCAGACAGUGGGGCAGCAUGCUGGUUCUGGUGAAUAAUCAGGGCAUCAAAAACUAGCCCUGGCUUCCUGGGGAAAAAAAGCUGACUCGCCAACUCCCGGACAUCCACCUCGCUCAUCUGUUGAAUGAGUACCUAGGAAAGCAGAUCACAGAUGCAACUAUGUUAUGCAAACAUUUUACUUCGUAAACCAUUGUCUUAGAAACACAGUUAUCGACAUUUCCUUCUAGAGCCCACCCUUGUGGGUGCAACAGUUUUUCUAAAGUCACUGCUAUUGCCUACGUGCACUACAUAUUAAAUUCUGGUUUCUGCUAUUCUGCUAGUGGCUUGCCUGUAUAGGAAUAUAAAUAUGAAUAUAAUUGCUGUUGUAAUAGUAAUUACUUAGUAACCAAUUAGUCCCACAUAUAGCCAGCUCACACUUAACAGAAUUUAAGUGAAUUGUUAAUGGUUGGGACAGGUAGGUUCCUUUUUUUAUUUAUAACAGUGUCCAUAAGGUUAAAAUUGUAACUACUGUAAGGAUCAGUCAUGAGUUAAUGAAGAAGGAUAAUAGUUAUUUGUCAAUAAGGGUGAUGCACCCCUUAUGGGCAGACACAAAAAGGGUAACUAUGGAUAGGUAAUAAUGAAGUAAUGAUUCAGUACUCAUUAACUACUCAGUAUGAUGCAGUACUUUAGGGUAGGGCUGGGCGAUAUGGCUUAUAAAUAAUAUCUCAAUAGCUUUAGGCUAUGCCGUGAUACACUUUGUAUAUCUCGAUAUACACAUUUUCUCUAAAAUAACAUUAAACUACCCAACAGUAUAUAAAGUAGUUCAAAUUAGAAUAAUAUAAUAGUAAUUAUAAUAGUAAUAGUAGUUAUAAUAGUAAAACACUGACAGGGACAAUUUUCCAUUCAAUUUUACACAAAUAGCGCCAAUUCAUAACAGUUCUCAUUGCACUUUUCUUAUAGAACAGGUCUAGACUGUACUCAUUAUAAUAUAAUGUACUCUUUAUAAUAUAAUAUUUUACUGCACAAAGAUGUAAGUAAAUUUAUCUAUAAUACCUCAAACUUUUAUCUACGGUUUAGAAUGCACAACUUUUACUUGUAGUGGAGUAUUUUCAAAGUUGGUAAAAUGGUAAAUGGACUGUACUUAUAUAGUGCCUUUCUAGUCUUUCUGACUACUCAAAGUGCUUCAAAGUUGGUAUUAGUACUUUUGCUUUUCUGGACAUGAAUACUUCUUCCACCUCUGAUUAGCACACCCACAGCCUAAAUGCUUUUGUGUGUUACCAGCCGAGCCAUCCCCUUUAAGGAAGAUGGCCUUCUGGGUAACCAGUGUUGGUGUUGUGAAACAGACACAUUUCCUACACUUGAGAUCCAUCGUAUGCGUCUCACCGUGCAAUCAAUGUCAGUUCAGCGGGAGCUCAUGUUUAUUUCCUCAAAUCGACUACAGCCUCAUACAUCCAGGGCAGUAGCCCAGUGCACAGCCCCUGCAGAUAUAUUUCUUGUAGCCGCAGCACGCAGUGUGUGUUUUACGGUCCUUCUUCGGUGGACAGAUCUGACACCUCUUCCUCUCGGUCCACUCGGGGCAGCUGCAGCUGGUUCCUCCUCAUCACCAUCACCCUCCUCGGGUCGAUCCUCUUGUUCUGCUUACCGGACAUCCAGUUGGGCUCGAGCUCUCUCCAAAUCAUAAAGGCAUUGUAAGAGGAAACGUCGAGGAUGUUAUUGAAUACGCUGUCAUCCUUCUGCAGCUGAGAUAAUGAAGAAGGCCAUCAACUUCUUCCCAGGAAGGAUGAUGGAAUUGUUCAGCAAUGAUCACUUUGGACAACAGGACUGUGCCAAAUCAUAUUACCAUAUUACUGUAUUAUCGCAAUAUGAUUCCUCUAAAAUUUUGCAAAAACAAUAUAAUAAACAGAUGCUUUUUUUUUUCUUUUUUUUUUUUUUUAGACUUGCCAGGCUGAGCCUAUAUCCUCCUCUCAACUGUCCACCUGCACUAGACCCAUUAUGACAGGAGGCCAUUUUCAAGUCCUGGACCACAGAACCCAUGAGACCGGCCGUUGACGGGCUUCUGAUUAAGCACCAUGUAGCUAAAGGUCUAUUGAAGCCGGUGGAUGUAGACUAUGCUGCCAUUGUACAUCCUACCACAUGCCAACAUAUCUCCAGAUAUAUAAAGCACAUGGCCAAGCCAAAAAACACCAGCUAUUCACUCAUGUCAUGGCUUCAGCAGUUUCUGUAGUGUAGUAGUUCACGUUCGCCUUCAGUCGCAUAUAGGUGUAGAAGACAAUCUCUUAAUCAUCGCUCUCUUUCAAAAAAGAAGCAGUUCUAAUCCCGCUUUACCCAAACAAAACAUCCUGUAUUUGGUUCAGAAUAUUUUGCUACAGUGUGUGUGCAUAAUUCAAAACAAUUACAUUUAACCCUUUAAAACAUUUAAGUUUAAUAAUAAUGUCUUCCUGGACCUCUGUGGCAUCCCGGUCUUCCUGGGCGGCCUCCGCGGAUUCUGUCUAAAGAAGAAGCAUCACUUAAAGUAGGGACACAUUUGACUUGUUCAACGUGACUUUAGGUGAAAUUUACAGUUCACUGUCCAAUAGGAAGAGUACACAUAUUUAGGCUAGAAGAGUAUAGCUUUGUAGGUAGGAUACUAUAGACAUCAUCAGAAUAGUAAAGGGAUAAAUAUUGUGGAUCAGGGGAUGACUCUUAGACUUGGUUUGGCACUGCACUGGGUUUAACCUUGUACUGCUGAUAUCAUUGUCUCCUCUGCCGAGCUUCAAUAAACAUUGCUGUGCAAGACA